AGCUAAUAGAUACCCCGGUAGUCCUGGCCCUAAACGAUGUCCACUAGAUCAUGGGACCUUUGACGGGUUUCAUGGUCGAAAGCAAAAAAGUGCUAAGUGGACCGCCUGGGAAGUACGGUCGCAAGGCUAAAACUCAAAGGAAUUGACGGGGGCGUCACACAAGCGGUGGAGCAUGUGGUUUAAUUUCGAAGCAACGCGCAGAACCUUACCUGGGCUUGACAUGCCAGGAUUAUCCUUGUGGAAGCAGGGUACAGCCCGCAAGGGUCGGAACUGGUACAGGUGCUGCAUGGCUGUCGUCAGCUCGUGUCGUGAGAUGUCGGGUUUAAGUCCCUUAACGAGCGAAACCUUUGCCCUUAGUUACCAUCGGGUUAUGCCGGGGACUCUAAGGGGACUGCCGGUGUCAAACCGGAGGAAGGUGGAGAUGACGUCAAGUCCUCAUGGCCUUUAUGCCCAGGGCCACACACGUGCUACAAUGCGGCGCACAGAGCGAACCUAAAACGCGAGUUCAUGGAAAUCGCAGAAAUCGCCGCCCAGUUCAGAUCGGAGG
rnacentral:rRNA from 1 species